ACCAAAUGAACCAAACCUUGUAUCCCCUCUCUCUGUUCCUCCCCACUCUCAUUCCCUCAUCUCAAUCAUCAUUUUCUUGCCACCACCAUACUCGACGUCGUACCAUCGAUGAUGAUGGACACCACUUUAAUAAUGCUGCCACCAAGUUCACUCGUUGUCGUCUACGCCACUCCAACAAUGGUCGACGUCACCACUGCAAGAACAGAGAUGCCAUCGACACUGUUAGAUGAGCGGUGAUGUCGUCCCUCUCUAUCUUUUUCUCUCUCUUCUCUCUCUCGUUUCAGAUAUGAUGUUUGGGUAGUUGUUUUUUAGUGUUUUGUGUGGCAAUUUUGUUAGUGCUUGGGCAACGAUUGUUGUGCCUCGUGAUCUAAUAUUUAGGCGGCGAUGUUGGAUUUUGUUGGUGGUAGUGGUUUGUUGGUGUUUGGGCAAUAAUUGGGUUGGAUCUUGUUGGUGGUUGUAGUGGUGAGGUGGUGGUGGUGGUGAUAAUUUUGAAAUUGAAAAUGGUAGUUUGUUGGAGGUGGUAGUGAUAGUGGUGCGAUGGUAAGGUGGAGCUGCUUUCGGUUUGGCGGGGCGGGUGGUAGGAUUAAGAGUUUUUGUGACUAUUAAUUUGAGAUUGUGAUCAAUAAAUUGGAUAUCUUGUGAUAAAAAAUAAUAUGUUACCGGUAAAAAAAUUGUGAUCAAUAAAUAGUAUGUGACCUAAAUUUUUGAAAUGUGAUUUAUAAAAUUUGUGAUUUGUGACCGA
rnacentral:lncRNA from 1 species